GCCCCUCUCGGGUUACCGAAUUCAGACAAACUCCGAAUGCCAAUUAAUUUAACUUGGGAGUCAGAACAUGGGUGAUAAGGUCCGUGUUCGAAAGGGAAACAGCCCAGACCACCAGCUAAGGUCCCAAAAUAUAUGUUAAGUGGAAAAGGAUGUGGCGUUGCCCAGACAACUAGGAUGUUGGCUUAGAAGCAGCCAUCAUUUAAAGAGUGCGUAAUAGCUCACUAGUCGAGUGACACUGCGCCGAAAAUGUACCGGGGCUAAACAUAUUACCGAAGCUGUGGAUUGUCCUUUGGACAAUGGUAGGAGAGCGUUCUAAGGGCGUUGAAGCAUGAUCGCAAGGACAUGUGGAGCGCUUAGAAGUGAGAAUGCCGGUGUGAGUAGCGAAAGACGGGUGAGAAUCCCGUCCACCGAUUGACUAAGGUUUCCAGAGGAAGGCUCGUCCGCUCUGGGUUAGUCGGGUCCUAAGCUGAGGCCGACAGGCGUAGGCGAUGGAUAACAGGUUGAUAUUCCUGUACCACCUAGUAUCGUUUUAAUCGAUGGGGGGACGCAGUAGGAUAGGCGAAGCGUACGAUUGGAUUGUACGUCUAAGCAGUGAGACUGAGUGUUAGGCAAAUCCGGCACUCAUAAGGUCAAGCUGUGAUGGGGAGAGGAAAUUGUUUCCUUGAGUCGUUGAUUUCACACUGCCAAGAAAAGCCUCUAGAUAGAUAACAGGUGCCCGUACGCAAACCGACACAGGUAGUCAAGAUGAGAAUUCUAAGGUGAGCGAGCGAACUCUCGUUAAGGAACUCGGCAAAAUGACCCCGUAACUUCGGGAGAAGGGGUGCUCUUUAGGGUGCAAGCCCAGAAGAGCCGCAGUGAAUAGGCCCAAGCGACUGUUUAUCAAAAACACAGGUCUCUGCUAAACCGUAAGGUGAUGUAUAGGGGCUGACGCCUGCCCGGUGCUGGAAGGUUAAGAGGAGUGGUUAGCUUCUGCGAAGCUACGAAUCGAAGCCCCAGUAAACGGCGGCCGUAACUAUAACGGUCCUAAGGUAGCGAAAUUCCUUGUCGGGUAAGUUCCGACCCGCACGAAAGGCGUAACGAUUUGGGCACUGUCUCAACGAGAGACUCGGUGAAAUCAUAGUACCUGUGAAGAUGCAGGUUACCCGCGACAGGACGGAAAGACCCCGUGGAGCUUUACUGUAGCCUGAUAUUGAAAUUCGGCACAGCUUGUACAGGAUAGGUAGGAGCCAUUGAAACGUGAGCGCUAGCUUACGUGGAGGCGCUGGUGGGAUACUACCCUAGCUGUGUUGGCUUUCUAACCCGCACCACUUAUCGUGGUGGGAGACAGUGUCAGGCGGGCAGUUUGACUGGGGCGGUCGCCUCCUAAAAGGUAACGGAGGCGCUCAAAGGUUCCCUCAGAAUGGUUGGAAAUCAUUCAUAGAGUGUAAAGGCAUAAGGGAGCUUGACUGCGAGACCUACAAGUCGAGCAGGGUCGAAAGACGGACUUAGUGAUCCGGUGGUUCCGCAUGGAAGGGCCAUCGCUCAACGGAUAAAAGCUACCCCGGGGAUAACAGGCUUAUCUCCCCCAAGAGUUCACAUCGACGGGGAGGUUUGGCACCUCGAUGUCGGCUCAUCGCAUCCUGGGGCUGUAGUCGGUCCCAAGGGUUGGGCUGUUCGCCCAUUAAAGCGGUACGCGAGCUGGGUUCAGAACGUCGUGAGACAGUUCGGUCCCUAUCCGUCGUGGGCGUAGGAAAUUUGAGAGGAGCUGUCCUUAGUACGAGAGGACCGGGAUGGACAUACCUCUGGUGUACCAGUUGUCGUGCCAACGGCAUAGCUGGGUAGCUAUGUAUGGACGGGAUAAGUGCUGAAAGCAUCUAAGCAUGAAGCCCCCCUCAAGAUGAGAUUUCCCAACUUCGGUUAUAAGAUCCCUCAAAGAUGAUGAGGUUAAUAGGUUCGAGGUGGAAGCGUGGCGACACGUGGAGCUGACGAAUACUAAUCGAUCGAAGACUUAAUCAA
rnacentral:rRNA from 1 species